rnacentral:rRNA from 1 species
UACAGAGGGGGCAAGCGUUGUUCGGAAUUACUGGGCGUAAAGGGCGCGUAGGCGGCCCGCUAAGUCGAACGUGAAAUCCCUGGGCUCAACCCAGGAACUGCGUCCGAUACUGGUGGGCUUGAAUCCGGGAGAGGGAUGCGGAAUUCCAGGUGUAGCGGUGAAAUGCGUAGAUAUCUGGAGGAACACCGGUGGCGAAGGCGGCAUCCUGGACCGGCAUUGACGCUGAGGCGCGAAAGCCAGGGGAGCAAACGGG